CAAAUACUCCCUCCGUCCGAAAAAUCUUGUCCCUCCAAUGGAUGUAUCUAGCACCAAGUUAGUGCUAGAUACAUCCAUUUGAGGGACAAGCUUUUUUGGAUGGAGGGAGCAGUAG
rnacentral:pre_miRNA from 1 species